UUCUCAACGAAUCUGCGAACGGCUCCGUACACCUGUUACAACCCACCGUGAAUUUAUUAAACGGUAUACCAGUGGAAAAGCUAGUGCUAAAACGGCUAAUUCAUCGACUCUAUCGUACCAGGAGGCCAGCAAGAUCUCGGGACCUGCAUGCAAUACGGUCCUUCCUGGGUGCCCCCCUCGGGAGGGGGACGCUCGGGAACUUCUGGGUCAUUGGAACGAUUCCAAUUUCCCGGAUCUUGACCUGCAUGUGGAUAGACCUUCCCCGAGUGAGCUCUCCUUUUCCUGGGAACGUUUGGGACUCCCGCUAGUAACACGCCUUGGAGCGUGCUCUUGAGUUCUUUGGACGGGAUACUUUAAUGAACUCUUCGCUCUCUCUCCCUUCCUCCGGGUUGGGACUCCGAGGGAAGAGACCUCAUUUCCCGUCUAAAUGUUCGCAAAAAGAGCCCUCCUUGAUAAACGAUGGUCAGGCCAUUUAAAAGUGGGCGACGAUCACGGCGUCCAAACAAAAAAGACGGCUCUUUUUGUUCUUAAUUCCUCUCUCGGGGGGAAAAAAAACAAAAAAGACCGUCUUUUGGACGGCAGCCGGAUGCCACUUCCCAAGUCGCAGGUCUGGGAGGCAGAAUAUCAAGGGCCGGUCUCGCUAUACGGGGGACUUUCUCACCCCUCCCUCCGGCCCCCUCUAUAUAUAUAUAUAUUAUAUAUAUGUGUGGAGGGGGGGGGAGGGGAAUCUGGGGAAGACCUCCGCUAGUGAGACGGGAUUCCGCUCCUUUUCCUGUGGACUCUAAAAGGGCGUCCUCGUGGGUGGCCCCACCGCGCAUGGAAUGGGCGGAGAGAAACCCAAUUAUAAGGAAAAACUCUUCUUAUUCAUUUUUUUUACGACGGGUUUCAGGCCUAUCAACUUGUUGGUUGGGUAUUGGCCAACCAAGGUUAUAAC
rnacentral:rRNA from 1 species